rfam:Cyanobacterium stanieri PCC 7202, complete genome.
AGAAGCCGUGUGAGGUGAAAGUCUCAAGCACGGUUUUGAAGGAGAGGUUUGAGAGGUGACUCUCAGAUCGACUCUCU